GACGAACCGAGCGAACGUUGUUCGGAAUCACUGGGCUUAAAGGGCGCGUAGGCGGGCUGUCAAGUCUGGGGUGAAAUCCCGCGGCUCAACCGUGGAACUGCCUCAGAUACUGACGGUCUCGAGGGAGGUAGGGGCGAGCGGAACUGAUGGUGGAGCGGUGAAAUGCGUUGAUAUCAUCAGGAACUCCGGUGGCGAAGGCGGCUCGCUGGGACGGUACUGACGCUGAGACGCGAAAGCGUGGGGAGCAAACAGG
rnacentral:rRNA from 1 species